rnacentral:lncRNA from 1 species
UUAGAAAAUAAAACAGAUACCAAGUUUUCUUGGCUGACACUGAUUGCUGGAGGCAUCCUGAGGUCAUUGAUGACACUGAAAUUUUUCAUUUGCUCAGACUGCAGGAAAGCCCAUGGGUUGUUCGUGUAAAAUUGCUCCAAGCUGAGAAAGGUAUCAGCCUACAGCUCUUGUAAGGAGUGACGGAAGGAGUGACCUGGAAGCCAGAUAAGAGAUAAAUGCUGAAAGUUUUGCUACUUGUGGAAGUUUUCUACCAGAAUCUGCUCAAGAAAAACAGACUAAACUGUUGCCAAGACUUUACUUGAAAUGAUGCUUUCAGUAUAUCAGGACAAGCACAAAAAGAA